rnacentral:rRNA from 1 species
GGGGACCUUCGGGCCUCAUGCCAUCAGAUGUGCCCAGAUGGGAUUAGCUUGUAGGUGGGGUAACGGCUCACCUAGGCGACGAUCCCUAGCUGGUCUGAGAGGAUGACCAGCCACACUGGAACUGAGACACGGUCCAGACUCCUACGGGAGGCAGCAGUGGGGAAUAUUGCACAAUGGGCGCAAGCCUGAUGCAGCCAUGCCGCGUGUGUGAAGAAGGCCUUCGGGUUGUAAAGCACUUUCAGCGGGGAGGAAGGCGGUGAGGUUAAUAACCUCAUCGAUUGACGUUACCCGCAGAAGAAGCACCGGCUAACUCCGUGCCAGCAGCCGCGGUAAUACGGAGGGUGCAAGCGUUAAUCGGAAUUACUGGGCGUAAAGCGCACGCAGGCGGUCUGUCAAGUCGGAUGUGAAAUCCCCGGGCUCAACCU